UACGGAGGGUGCAAGCGUUGCUCGGAAUUAUUGGGCGUAAAGGGCAGGUAGGUGGUCUCAUUUGUCAGGGGUGAAAGCCUUGGGCUUAACUCAAGAAGUGCCCCUGAAACGGUGAGACUAGAGUGCUGGAGAGGGUCGUGGAAUACCCGGUGUAGCGGUGAAAUGCGUAGAGAUCGGGUGGAACACCAGAGGCGAAGGCGGCGACCUGGACAGUGACUGACACUCAACUGCGAAAGCGUGGGGAGCAAACAGG
rnacentral:rRNA from 1 species